rnacentral:rRNA from 1 species
CAAGUACCGUGAGGGAAAGUUGCAAAGAACUUGGAAGAGAGAGUUCAAGAGAACGUGAAUUCCUAGCGGUUGAAGCGGAGAGAGUUGACGUAGCUCGGCGGCUAAGCUUAUUGUUGYCUUUUCGGAGGCUUCGCUUUGUGGUGUCCGCUUAUAGCUGCGCCGGUAGCGUUGUUCGAGCUUUCUGACCUGGUUAGUGUUGCCCACUUCGGUGGUGUCUUGCUGCCGGCGAGGUCUGCCGUAUUAACGUUUAAUUUGCCUUACGGCAAGUACCGGUGUGAAGGUCAGCCACCUUUCCGACCCGUCUUGAAACACGGACCGAGGAGUGUAACUUGUACGCGAGUCAGAGGGUGGAAAACCCUACGGCGCAAUGAAAGUAAAGGUCGGUUAACCGGCUGACAUGGGAUCCGUGCUUCGGCGCGGCGCACCAUGGCCCUGUCUUGAGAGCUUGCUCUUGGGCAGAGGUAGAGCGUACAGGUUGCGACCCGAAAGAUGGUGAACUAUACUUGAGCAGGACGAAGCCAGAGGAAACUCUGGUGGAAGUCCGUAUCGGUUCUGACGUGCAAAUCGAUCGAUAGACUUGAGUAUAGGGGCGAAAGACUAAUCGAACCAUCUAGUAGCUGGUUCCUUCCGA